rnacentral:lncRNA from 1 species
AGAGGGAGAGAGAGAGAGAAUGCAUGCAUGCGAAUGUGGGAGGGACAGAGGGAGAAGGAGAGAGAAACCUAAGCAGACUCUGUGCUAAGCAUGGAGCCAGAUGCAAGGGUCGAUCCCAGGACCCUGAGAUCAUGACUGAGAUGAAAUCAAGAGACUUUAAGACAUUUUCUGAUGCGAGUUUUUAGGCAUUUGAGGGAUUUUGAUUCAUCUGCAAAGUAGCCACAUGUCUGUCCUUGAAGGUGAGCUUUUAUUACUCCGUGACAUGAAAUAAAAGUUUAAGUGUCUCACUUUUCUAUUAUUUGUCAGGAAGGUCUCCUGCAGCCUAGAGUGAAGAGAUGAACUCGUUCAGAUUUUUGUCAAGUGCUGCCCAUCAUGGCCCUUGUAACGUCAGAGGAGAGAACAUAUUCAUCAGUGGCUGGGGUGAGGACAUAGCUCCUUCAGAGAACAUUCUUCAGAAAAGAAUUCAAGAAGAGUUCUUCAAAGAAGAUUACAUUAACUUGUUUCUUUGUAACUCGGAAAAAAUUAAAUGAAGUGAUUCUAAUUUCUUUUAUAUAGUAUCUUGGAUAAAUUCUGAAGAUAUUUGGCCAAGAUAACCAGCAAAAAAAAUCGACCUUUUAACACUUACAUACUUCCAGGGAAGCCUCUAGUUAUAUGCAUGUUUGUAAAAUACACUUACUAUAACUGCUGCUCUGCCUUAAAUCAUAGAUCCAUUCAGUACAUUCUCACUUACUUCUUACCCUAGUUAUAGCUCUUCGCUCGUAGCACCCCACUACCAUCGAAUCAUGGAUUAGAAUUAUACUAAUCUGUACCGUCACUGACCUUCUAUCCAUAACUGAUAGCAGCAGCAGAGGAAGUAAACAUAAAACUCAUCCAAUGCCACUGAAAGCAGCUGGUGCAUCAGGGAUGACAGUGGGACACCAAGAGUCUAAGUAAAAACAGACAGACUACGUUCAAGUCUUGCUUCCUCUGAGACUCACACAGCAGGUCUCUGGCCCAUUCAGAAAAGGAGAGCUUACAAUUUCAUCUCCUGGGUAACUUGCUACUGCUCUGAUUGACUGAACUGAUGCGUUUAUUUAAUCGCAGGACUUUGCAAUUACAAGAACAAUAGGCAUCACAAAAAUAAUACAUCCUUUUCUUUCAGAAAAGUAAAAGGAGGUAUAGUGUUGGAACCUAAGACUGGGGGUGUAAUUGAAUGUAAGCUUAAAACAUGUUUAAUAAAAUGAAGUCAUUUUCCAGUUGGGAAACAUGGACAAACCGUCACGUUUUCUAGGAGCAACUGCUCCAAUAGUGGGGUUAAAGGGUAGACUUCACUUACACAUGAAAAGGGACCCAGGUUACUUUGAUUCUAUAUACCUUCGUGUCUUUCAGUUGUUCCAGGACAUGACAGUUUGACCCACCUGUAUGUUCCAUGCUCCCUACCAAUUUGCUAUAUGCCAGAAAUUCCAGUACUCUAAGUUCAUAAUGGUCUUUAUUUAUUAACCUGAUUGUUGAAACGGAAGACAAAACAGCAAUGCACCCAGGAACCUGGUCAGCCCAGGCGAGUGUGUUUUCUGAGUCUUCAGAUAAACAAUGUAGAAAAUACAUUACGUGGUAAUUUCAAAUGAUUUAUCCAGCUCUAACAUGUCUUCAGUCUCAUGUCCAGAAAGCCACUGCCAAGUCCGUGUACAACCUCUCACCAAGCUCUGAAGGCUGAAUAAUCCUCUGCUUUUAAUCUCUCCUCAUUCUUCCAAGAAAAAAUGUUACAGUUGAUGGAUUCUUAUUUCAUUCCAAGGCUUAGGUCCUCCACUUGACAAAACUUCUAGGAUCUCAGUGGGAGACACAUCUACUAGUGUACAUCAGGAAUUAUGCCUAUUUGCCCACUUAUGACCUGUGAUUCAUAAUAAAUCACCUUUAUUUCUCUCAAAAUUUUUAAUGCACUACAGGCUUCUCAAUUGUACAAGAAUAUAUAUAUAUAUACAUUGAUGCCCAAUUAAAAGAUGUUAGAGUCACCCUCACAUAGGUUUUGUAAGUUGUGGCUGAGCUAACUUAUUAAAAAUGACAAGUUUAUUUUACCAAUGAUGCCAUAAAGGACAAAGGUUAUCUAUAGUUUGUACACUGAUAACUUAAGGCGCUCAAUGAUUUAACUUGCUCCAUUUAACUUUCUCCAUAAACUGGUUUCUUACACAGUUUCAUUUUCCAGCCUGGACGGAGAAGGAGUCAAGGGAGCAGGUGCCUUUAGAUCUGCUUCAUACUCGGAGAAGCUCCUAAUGUUCUGUGUGGGGUGAGGAAAUAGCCCAGUGUUUUCAUAUGACUAAUGCCUUGUUCUUGGCUUACAGUGUUGUAGGCUUUACCAAGUGUUAGCAUUAAAUAUGCAGUUAUUGAACUUUUCAUAAGAGGCAAUGAUGUAAAAUUGUUCCACAAAGUGUACUAUAUGAACCACUUUUCACAGUUCAAAUAAAAUAUUUUAAAUAUAAAUAUUGAAACUCUAGCAAUAACCUCUCUACGCAAGAUAAGAGAGAGGGGAUUAAUGAAAACCCAGUUAAAUUUCCAUAUAUUCAUGAUUAACCAUUUAAAUAGUUUUAUUUUCCAAAACCCAAUUGCACAUAACCCAUAACUUAUAGGCCACGUCUCCAAAACAAAUAAACCACCAAAGAAAAAAGUGAUAAAUUAUAAGAAAGGAAAAUAUGCGAUAUUUACUACAAUCAUUCCCUUGCUCCAAAACUUGGCAAAUAUAUAAGAAAAGUGACCUCAAGUGGAUAUACUUUAAUUUGCAAAGCUAAUUGGAGCAGAUGAAGUUAAAACACAUAGAACAGAAUGGGCAUACAUUAUUUUCAUAUUUGCAUGUGAAAUGAAUGUAUUGGCGUAAAUU